CCCCAGGGCACCCAGCCCAGCGCAGGGGCGGCGGAGGCAACGCUGGGUGCCCCAGUUCCCGCGGCUCACACUCGGGUGGGCACCUAUGCAGGGGAUGGUUGUCGAAAGAGCCGGGGAGUCUUCGGAGUCUCGGUGGCCCAGGUGUGUCUGACACUGGCCAGCAGCGCAGAUGGAGGACCUCUUCGUAUCCCCCGCCACCGGCCUCCAGGGGCAAGGCUAGGUGCCACAACCGUCCCUGGAGCCCCUCAAAGAGCACAGGCGAAAAUGCCUGGAGGCUGAGCUGCCACUGUGGUCGAGGCACCUCUAAUAGAGGAUGGACCUCAGAAUCCCCUGCCCAGAAUUUGGAGAACCUUGAAGAAAGCAAGUAGUGGAAGUGGGUAGGCACACUCCAGUUUCUGUGGCAUCUGGGACAGGAAUAUAAAUGGCGGCCUCCUUGCCAUCUGUUGAGAUAUAAACACUGUCAAUCAAAUGGGAAUCUGCUAGGUAAAAUAUGUUCUACCUUCUGGCCUUAACAAAUAUAUCUUUGUAAUGUCCUAGAAGGCCAGAUUUUAAUUUAAAACUGGAUUCU